ensembl:lncRNA
CGGGACUACACCGAUGCCCGUAUUAUUUGAAAGAAGUGGACUGAAAAGUUCAGCAUCCGUGGUUAGUACUUCACAUCAGACGGCGUUAACCGGCUUUGUGUUGCCACCAGAAACCCAGAAAGCCGAGUUACCAAGCAGGAGGACCAUCCACAUCAACUGCUAGCAGGAGACCUCUAAAAGCUGUUCAAUUCCUUUCUACCUAGCAGCCUCCACCAUAGCACCAUCCAGUGACUUACCAUCAGAAAGGGGCCAGCUCUACAUUACAAGAGGCGAGAGCUAAUUGUAAACUACAACCUUGUUCUUCCGAGCGCCAAACCAUAAUCAACGGUCAACUGAACGAGCUGCACUUUAUAAACAUUUUUCAUGAAAUGGAAACAAGUUCUUUGCAUAGCAAACAUUGAACCUGAAAACAAUAUAAAUUGUUUCUAAAAAUAUAAAUGUGUUACACUAUGUAUAAAAA